CUGUUUAAUAGCUCCCAUGUGUUGCUCCACCCCGCGAGUUAUUUUCACCGGUUUCCCCUCCUAUGGGAUUUGUGUAGGAGGAACAGAGGUGCCCAAACCUGGGAGCAGCCUUUACGUGCUCAAGCGAACUGAACUUCUGUAUACGUGCAGCAAGGUGUGGUGAUUACUCGUGAUGGCGGAGAAGGAGCAACUUGAAAGACGACGGGCGGCUGCUCGAUUGUGGUGUACGAGAGCCUCCAAGGCUUUGCAGACUUUGCUUGAACUGCCAACUGGGUCCGGGGUGCAGCUGGAAGACGCUAUAGCGGAUUUAGAUAAGCGUCUAGACACCUUGGACCGAGUUCAAGCGGAAUAUGAACUGACAAUAAGUUACCCUGAGUUGUUGGAAGCAGACCUGGACAAAGCAGAUAGUUUGCACAGUGGUGUUAGAGCUGUUCGGGUGCAGGCUGGCGAACUGUUGGCGAAACUGGAUAAGACUGCCGUCCAUGAAGGUCGGAAAGUAGUGAAGAUAAGUCUGCAAGUGGAAGCGCAGUGUCUACUAGUGCUAGUGUGAAUCUUCCACGGCUCGACUUGCCGAAAUUUAGUGGUGACUAACCCAGUGGUAGUCAUUUGUUCGUGGCUAUGGUAGACUACUCUACUCUACCAGCCAUCAGCAAGUUCACCUAUCUGCAGGCCUUAUUGGAAGGUGAAGCCAAGUCUGUCAUCCAUGGUUUGUCACUUACUGCAGUUAAUUAUGCUGUGGCCUGUAAUCUGUUGAAGGAGCGGCAUGGGAAGCCAGAGGAUUAUCUUCGCCCACAUUCAAGCUCUUCUUGGCUUGAGCAUGCCGUUCAAGCCUCAAGGAUCUACGACUUAUGUGUCUGCCUUGAGGAAGCUGCAGGAUGACCUCCUGAUCCACAUCAGGAGUUUGGAGGCACUGGGGUUAAGUGGCAGUGAGUUUAGCCUCUUCCUCACCCCAGUGAUUUUGUCUCCUCUGCCGAGCGACAUCCGUUUGGAGUGGGCGAGGGAAGGAUCGGGUCACGAAAGGGAUCUCGCAUGGCUGUUGGAUUUUCUUAGGAAGGAGACUGAGCGCCUUGAAAGCUCAGACUCCUUUAAGGACGUGACUACUGCUGCAGGGACAGACGGCCGCAGUGUGAGGGAGUAGGAGAGAAGAAAGAAGUCUCCUAGUUCUGCAUUUGCUCUUCAGACAGUCUGAGACAUAUUCAGGAGGAGUAUGAUGCCGUAUUUGAGGGUUACGAACGGGAAGGCAUCAUUGAAGAGGUACCUGAGGGUGAGAUGAACAGCCCAUACCCCACAUUCUACCUUCCUCAUCAUCUUGUCGUCAGGGAAGUCAGCACCACAAGUAAAACUGCAGGAUAUGGGGGGCUCCUUUGUCACAGAAUAUAUCAACGAGGUGGAAAGCAACCUCUUCAGCAGUUUUCGUCUGUAGAGCCCGAAGACACACCAUCUUCGUCAAGUGAUCCUGGUAGUUCAGAAUGAAACGAUGUU